UUGUUGAGUCUUGCAUCUUGGCCAGCGUACUCCCAAAAUGUCUUUUCAUGGGCAACACUAAAUGCAUUGCGAUCAUCAUUUUGGAACCAAGUGCUCAAGCAAUCCCAUGGUUUUGUCAGAACUGGGUCGAGCAACAGAAGUAAAAGAGGUCUCACACUCCAGGGAUUGUCCUUGAGGAGGAGACGAGUGGAUUGGGUAAGGGAAUAGGCUUCUUGGUUGUGAAUGCCAUUAAGAUUUUGCUGGGAAAAGAAACCGGAGUGCACGAGAAUACGCAUAAGGCGGUGGACAUAUUGAGCUUUUGAUGGGUGGAUCGGUAGGGCAGAAACAAGCUCCGAGAGGGUCAUGGGCUUGCCAUGUUUUUGGAUCACAUCUGGUAUGCCUAGUUGAACGGCACAUUUCAAAGUCAUGGAGUUUAUGAAGUUGAAUAUAUGAUUCCAUACAUGAGAUUGAGCUUGAAGCAUCUCACCAGCACUUUCCUCGUUAAUCAACUCCAUUGAUUUGAAGUAGUAUAUAUGCUAGUGCAUGUUGUGAUACCUCAAGAGAUCUCUCUUCCUAUUUAUAGUAGUGAAACGUACUCUACCCUCGGAGAAGGCUUAAUUUCUCAACUUUAUCCAAUAAAAAAAAUUAAAAUGAAAAAUUCCAUCACAGGAAUCUCUGUUUUCACAGUGCAACAUGUUGUGUGCUUGGUAUUUUCAGUUUUUUGUUUCUUCAAAUGCGCUUUGUUUCCUGGGUUUAUUCAAGUACAAAAUGGAAUAUUUUAAUGUAUUUUUUUUUUAAGUUUCACAUAAUUAAUUUUAUAAGUAAUUAGUUUUGUAUUGAUUCAGUUCGAUUCUCUUGCACUCCACACCGAAUUCCAAGAUUAUUAAGCUUGCAUAUACUUAAAAGAACAUGAUUUUAUCAAGACAUUGGCAAAUGUAUGAUAAGACAACCAAUAAUUGAAAGCAAAUAAAAGUGAAAACCCAACAACCAUUACCACAAGUAGUAAGGAUUCGACCUGAAACACAACAAAAAUGUUGGAUUCAAAUCUUAUUUUUAAAUAAUUUGUUUCAAUGAUUUUUAUGAUAAAUAAUAAUAAUAUAAUUCUAGUGGUCUAUCACCUAAUACCUAACCCUGUCCCCAUGCUAUCACUUCUCAUAAUUAAAUUCGUUAUGAAUUAUCAUGGCCAACCCUGUCCCCAUGCUGCUUUGCAAGUCAGAAACCACAUGGGGGAGAUCAAACACAGUGCAGUCCAUGUGGGGAAAUGCUUCAGCAAUGCCCUUGGCCAUAGUUCCAUCCCAUGCCUCCCCCGACACCAAAGAAUUCACCCCAUCAAAGAUGCGUUUACAUUUGCUUACAACCAACUUACUAGCCAAUAUGCUAUCACUAGCUAGAUAUGGCUUCAUUAAAGAGAUUGUUGAGUCUUGUAUCUUGGCCAGCGUACUCCCAAACUGUCUUUUCAUGGGCAACACUAAAUGCAUUGCGAUCAUCAUUUUGGAACCAAGUGCUCAAGCAAUCCCAUGGUUUUGUCAGAACUGGGUCGAGCAGCAGAAGUAAAAGAGGUCUCACACUCCAGGGAUUGUCCUUGAGGAGGAGACGAGUGGAUUGGGUAAGGGAAUAGGCUUCUUGGUUGUGAAUGCCAUUAAGAUUUUGCUGGAAAAAGAAACCGGAGUGCACGAGAA
rnacentral:lncRNA from 1 species